UACGUAGGUGGCAAGCGUUGUCCGGAUUUAUUGGGUUUAAAGGGAGCGUAGGCGGUCUUAUAAGUCAGUGGUGAAAUCUUGUCGCUUAACGACAAACGUGCCAUUGAUACUGUAGGACUUGAGUACAGAUGCCGUUGGCGGAAUGUGUCAUGUAGCGGUGAAAUGCAUAGAUAUGACACAGAACACCGAUUGCGAAGGCAGCUGACGAAACUGUAACUGACGCUGAGACGCGAAAGCGUGGGGAGCGAACAGG
rnacentral:rRNA from 1 species